rnacentral:rRNA from 1 species
GACGAACGCUGGCGGCGUGCUUAACACAUGCAAGCCGAACGCUGAAGCUCAGCUUUUGUUGGGUGGAUGAGUGGCGAAAGGGUGAGUAACACGUGAGUAACCUGCCUCCUUCUUUGGGAUAACGCCCGGAAACGGGUGCUAAUACUGGAUAUUCACUGGUCUUCGCAUGGGGGUUGGUGGAAAGGGUUUUUCUGGUGGGGGAUGGGCUCGCGGCCUAUCAGCUUGUUGGUGGGGUGAUGGCCUACCAAGGCUUUGACGGGUAGCCGGCCUGAGAGGGUGACCGGUCACAUUGGGACUGAGAUACGGCCCAGACUCCUACGGGAGGCAGCAGUGGGGAAUAUUGCACAAUGGGCGCAAGCCUGAUGCAGCGACGCCGCGUGAGGGAUGGAGGCCUUCGGGUUGUGAACCUCUUUCGCUCAUGGUCAAGCCGCAACAAUGGUUGUGGUGAGGGUAGUGGGUAAAGAAGCGCCGGCUAACUACGUG